rnacentral:rRNA from 1 species
CCUACGGGGGGCAGCAGUAGGGAAUAUUGCUCAAUGGGGGAAACCCUGAAGCAGCAACGCCGCGUGGAGGAUGAAGGUUUUCGGAUUGUAAACUCCUUUUGUUAGAGAAGAUAAUGACGGUAUCUAACGAAUAAGCACCGGCUAACUCCGUGCCAGCAGCCGCGGUAAUACGGAGGGUUCAAGCGUUAUUCGGAAUCACUGGGCGGAAAGAGCGUGUAGGCGGGAUAGCAAGUCAGAUGUGAAAUCCUAUGGCUUAACCAUAGAACUGCAUUUGAAACUGUUAUUCUAGAGUAUGGGAGUGGUAGGGGGAAAUCUUGGUGUAGGGGUAAAAUCCGUAGAGAUCAAGAGGAAUACUCAUUGCGAAGGCGACCUGCUAGAACAUAACUGACGCUGAUGCGCGAAAGCGUGGGGAGCAAACAGGAUUAGAUACCCGAGUAGUC